rnacentral:lncRNA from 1 species
CACCAAUUCAGAGACACGUUUAUUCUCACGUCAUAAUAGCUCCUGACGACUCGCUUGUCGAGUCCCACCAUGCUUUCUGCCAUGAGCUUCCUACACAGUCCUUUUUUGUGAGCUCACUAAACUCAUCCUUAAAUAAGUCCCCACGUGCAGAACAUUUAUCAGGUCACCCUGAGGUGACCUCAAGAGCUGUCCUCUGAACUCAUCGUCUGGGACUGCCCUUGCUCACUGCACGACAGCCCCCGCGACUCCUGGCUGUGCUCAAACACACAAGGUGUGCUGCUGCCUGGCGUCCUCGCGUGGGACAUCUCUGCCUCCUCUCCCCAGGGAGCAGGUUUCUCUCACUUGCUUCAUGUCUUUGCCUGAUGUGGUGAGUUUUGGAGGAACAUUCACUACCAUCACAUUUAUCAUUCACAUUUAUAAACAACAAAUUGUUUCCUGCAUAACAUAA